rnacentral:rRNA from 1 species
GCCAAGUCCGCCUACCUCGCCACCUUCCAUGGCUCCACCCAUUGCCAGGCUUGGAGACUAUCUUGGAAGUGCUGGGCGCCGCCACGGGUGCGUUUCUUCCACUGGCUUGCAAACCUCGAACGCUGCCGGACUGUUGACCGCCUCGCGCACCGUAACCUGCCACACCCGCCAUGCUGUCCGCUUUGCGAUCAGGCCCCAGAGACACUACAUCACCUUCUCCUAGGAUGCCCCUUCGCUAGACAGGUGUGGCACGAGAUCCUCUCAUGGCUGUGCCUCCCCUGUCUGCCGCCUGACAACGACGCCACACUUCAUGAUUGGUGGCGACUGGCUAAACGGAACACGCCCAAGCCGAUGCACAAGGGCCUCGCUUCCGCCACCCUGCUCGUGCCAUGGAUGAUUUGGAAACAUCGCAAUGGCUGCGUAUUCGAGGGAGAUCGCCCUUCGGUCACCUCUCUGAUCGCCACGAUCAAGGCUGAGGCUGCACUUUGGGCCAGAGCCGGGGCCCUAGGCCUCCGCGUCAUCCUGCCCCAAACCUGGGAUGUUCAAUAA